rnacentral:rRNA from 1 species
AACUUUCAACAAUGGAUCUCUUGGUUCUGGCAUCGAUGAAGAACGCAGCGAAAUGCGAUAAGUAGUGUGAAUUGCAGACUUUAGUGAAUCAUCGAAUCUUUGAACGCCCAUUGCGCCCCUUGGUAUUCCAUUGGGCAUGCCUGUUCCAGCGUCAUU